rnacentral:lncRNA from 1 species
AAGAGGUAAGAAGUUCUCGGUUGGAGCGCUGUAUGAACACAUGAGCUGAUUAAGAGAUGGCUUAGGUAUCUUUAGUUCAGUGAAGGAGCCGUGAAGUUGGAAUGGGCCAAAAAGAACCAGCAGGAGGCCCUGACUUUGACGGCAACAGGAUAGGAGUAUUUGACCUUGAUGAUAGAGCCCUGUGCCUCUGAAGAGAAAAGAAAAACAACUUUGAGAAAGUUAUCUGAGUGAAGAGACAUAGUCAGUAGAAAAGCAGGGACUUGGCUAACAGAGACUGCACGCAUGAAGGUAACACCUUAACCAAUUAAUGUAUAGCAGGGGUGAGUUAACGAAGGCUAAACCCUAUCAGGAGUUGCCUGGUGGCAACUGCUUACAUUUAUUACUGUAUAAAUAAGGCUCUGUUAAAGCAAUAAAAGUCUUUGGUCUGCAGAUCGCCAGAGUCCGUGCCUUUAAUCUCCACACUUUUCCAUAAAUUUGUUU